UGUGGGUUCCGGCUUUUUCCCUGUAAAGAUCGCUCUAGGUUAAUAGCUCUGCUCAAGAGGCUCCAGGCAGACUGGCAAGGGCAAGAAAAAUUAUGCAGUCAAGUUUCCUGUGUUUGGGGGACAUCAGAAACCAGCACAUCCAGAGUGCAAAGAGGCAGUCUCCCCUGGGAAAACCAUCUUCUUGGUCAUGGUAGCUCCUCUUCCAGUGCCCGAGAGCUAACCGAUACAAUACCAGUCAGUGGAAGGAAGGUCCAGGACAUGAGCUUAAGAUCACCUGUUCCAUCAUGGCUCCAAGGUGGUCAGCUCUUCCAGGAAGAUGGCGUGGUACACUAGGGAGGAGCAAGCGCCUUCGUUUAAGGACACAAGAACCUGAUUAUGUGUCCCUACCCCAUCCUGAGAAGCCAAGAGCUCACAUGUAAGGAUGCUCACGCCCAGAGCCAUGGAUUCUGUCGGAAGCUGAGAAGGCUGGUGGAGCCUAUUGACAAGCAGCCCAGAGUCUUUGGCUGGUUGGUCUGAAACUGACACCUACCUGCCUUUGAUGGCAUUGAAGAGCCGAAUCCCAUCUGCAGGACCACAGACCUGCACCAGAUCGUCUCUGGACAUUUUCAGCAGAAGCAUACAGCUCGCUGCAGGUUGACAAGACAGACAGACUCUGAGGACUAGCUCAGCCCAAGACACACGGACAGACCUGCCAACCCACUGAAGGGAAGAGGAGGCCAGUGUCUCAUGGGAAGAGAGGAGAAUGACGGUUAGUAAGGAUGGCCACAGUGUGACGUCUUUAAAGACUGAGUCCCCAGAUUCCAGAUUCCCAGGGGUCUCCAGUCACUCUGUCUCUCCUCCAUUAUCUCUAUCUCAGGUGAUGUCUGGAAUAGCUCUGCGGACACAAUGGCUCCUUCCCUGCAUCCGGCCCCCGCUUUUUCUUUUCUUUGAGACAUGGUUUCAUGUAACCCUGGGUGGGCUUGAACUUCUCAUUCUUCUACCUCCUGAGCACACUGCACCCAGUUUAUGUGGUGCUGGGGCCUUGUGCAUGCCAGGCAAGCAAUCUAUUAACUGAGCUCCAGCUCCAGUCCAGAAUGGUUGGCUUUGUAUUGGGACUAAAAGCCAAUAUCCUCCCAUGGUCCUACCAGAAUCCAGGCCGCCUCCCCCUGGUGACCUGACCUCACUGCUUCCUCAGUUCACCUACCUCACAGCCUCUGCACUUUCUCUCUGCUGGCAGAGCUCUCCCCUACCACCCCCCAGCUCUCUCUAGCACUCAAGGACCCCUGGGUAAGCCCUCCUCCCCUCCCUUGCCCAGCGUAGGUCCCAGGAGCCAUGUCUCCCCUCCUUCACCCAGCACAGGUCACAGUGCACUUAAGUGGCCAGUUCCCAUGGCAGCACAGGUGCCCGGUUGUCCUUGCACUUCUACCUCUCAUUAAGAAUGCUCU